CAGUCGCCGCGGGAAUACGAAGGGGGCUAGCGUUGUUCGGAAUUACUGGGCGUAAAGGGCGCGUAGGCGGCCAUUCAAGUUAGAUGUGAAAGCCCUGGGCUCAGCCUAGGAAUUGCAUUUGAUACUGUUUGGCUUGAGUUCGGGAGAGGUGAGUGGAAUUCCCAGUGUAGAGGUGAAAUUCGUAGAUAUUGGGAAGAACACCAGUGGCGAAGGCGGCUCACUGGACCGACACUGACGCUGAGGCGCGAAAGCGUAGGGAGCAAACAGGAUUAGAUACCCCCGUAGUCCCUGUCUCUUAUAC
rnacentral:rRNA from 1 species